rnacentral:lncRNA from 1 species
UGCUAUCAGGAAACGGGACUCCCUUUCUCCUGGGACCCAAAACAAACAUUUCUGCUCUCCUGUUUCUCUGUUUCUCCUGACCGCGCCCCACCCGGUUUGGAGGUCCACACGUGCCUUAAACCCAGGUCCCUGGCUGCAGAGAGAAGGGGAGGUCCACGAGGAAGGGAUGAACUGGGCUGAAGAGGCUCUUUCGUUUUCGGAACGGGAGGCCUCCGCGGGCAUUUGCAGUUUCCGCCGCCCGUUGCAGCUCGAGAGGGUCUCGUUGCAGAAGCGUUUGGAGAAGGACGCAGCAGGACGCGUGUAGCCAGAACCACACAAUCACGAAAUAGCCAGGACUCCCUCGCUGCCCCUUCUGCCGCCGCCCCCCCAAUAUCGGGGGGGGGGCUCGUUUUGAAGCAGGAAAGGAAAAACAAAAGAGAUAUUUUCCUUGGGAGUGACGAGGGGGGAAGAAAGAGAAUCUUCGGGUUUUUUUUAAAAGCUGCCUUGGUUUUUCUGAUGGCCACCAUCCGAUCCAGCCAAGUGGAAAAGUUUCUCCACUUUCUCAGCCCAUGUCUCCAGCAGAAAAUUUGGGGAUUCCUCGAGGACUUUGGCAUAUGCACCAUUAAUAAACAAAUGAAAAAUAAAUAAAACAACCUUCCCACAGCAAUCUCCUGUUUUAAACAUGAUUUACACUCUGAACUUGUUCAGGCGAUUAACAAAGGCAGAAGGUAGAAAGAAUCCCGAAAAUCUGUACAAGAAAAUCUAUUCUGUGAGCCCCGGUCGCUUUCGGAGAAAAAGAAAGGAAAGGAAAAAGGAAAGGAAAGAAAAACGCUACCUAUUUAAAAUGCGAAUUUAUUAUUUCCUGCCAGCAGAGAGGGCGGACAAAGUUGAUUUUUGCAAUUCUCUAACUGCAUCUGAGCUUAGUCUUCUAAUGCCCGUGGGGGUGAGGAAAGAAAGGUGGAAAAAUCCCUUUCGGAGUCCCCCGCUAAGCCCAAACUGACCGGC